rnacentral:rRNA from 1 species
GGGAAACUGGGUCUAAUACCGGAUAUGACUCCUCAUCGCAUGGUGGGGGGUGGAAAGCUUUUGCGGUUUUGGAUGGACUCGCGGCCUAUCAGCUUGUUGGUGAGGUAAUGGCUCACCAAGGCGACGACGGGUAGCCGGCCUGAGAGGGUGACCGGCCACACUGGGUCUGAGACACGGCCCAGACUCCUACGGGAGGCAGCAGUGGGGAAUAUUGCACAAUGGGCGAAAGCCUGAUGCAGYGACGCCGCGUGAGGGAUGACAGGCCUUCGGGUUGUAAACCUCUUUCAGUAGGGAAGAAGCGAAAGUGACGGUACCUGCAGAAGAAGCGCCGGCUAACUACGUGCCAGCAGCCGCGGUAAUACGUAGGGCGCAAGCGUUAUCCGGAAUUAUUGGGCGUAAAGAGCUCGUAGGCGGUUUGUCGCGUCUGCCGUGAAAGUCCGGGGCUCAACUCCGGAUCUGCGGUGGGUACGGGCAGACUAGAGUGAUGUAGGGGAGACUGGAAUUCCUGGUGUAGCGGUGAAAUGCGCAGAUAUCAGGAGGAACACCGAUGGCGAAGGCAGGUCUCUGGGCAUUAACUGACGCUGAGGAGCGAAAGCAUGGGGAGCGAACAGGAUUAGAUACCCUGGUAGUCCAUGCCGUAAACGUUGGGCACUAGGUGUGGGGGACAUUCCACGUUUUCCGCGCCGUAGCUAACGCAUUAAGUGCCCCGCCUGGGGAGUACGGCCGCAAGGCUAAAACUCAAAGGAAUUGACGGGGGCCCGCACAAGCGGCGGAGCAUGCGGAUUAAUUCGAUGCAACGCGAAGAACCUUACCAAGGCUUGACAUGGACCGGACCGCCGCAGAAAUGUGGUUUCUCCUUUUGGGGCCGGUUCACAGGUGGUGCAUGGUUGUCGUCAGCUCGUGUCGUGAGAUGUUGGGUUAAGUCCCGCAACGAGCGCAACCCUCGUUCCAUGUUGCCAGCGCGUAAUGGCGGG